GACGAACGCUGGCGGCGUGCUUAACACAUGCAAGUCGAACGAUGAAGCCGGAGCUUGCUCCGGUGGAUUAGUGGCGAACGGGUGAGUAACACGUGAGCAAUCUGCCCUUGACUCUGGGAUAACUGCGGGAAACUGUAGCUAAUACCGGAUACGACACCUUGGGGCAUCCCAGGGUGUGGAAAGAAUUUCGGUCAAGGAUGAGCUCGCGGCCUAUCAGCUAGUUGGUGGGGUAAUGGCUCACCAAGGCGACGACGGGUAGCCGGCCUGGGAGGGUGACCGGCCACACUGGAACUGAGACACGGUCCAGACUCCUACGGGAGGCAGCAGUGGGGAAUAUUGCACAAUGGGCGAAAGCCUGAUGCAGCAACGCCGCGUGAGGGAUGAAGGCCUUCGGGUUGUAAACCUCUUUUAGCAGGGAAGAAGCGAAAGUGACGGUACCUGCAGAAAAAGCACCGGCUAACUACGUGCCAGCCGCCGCGGUAA
rnacentral:rRNA from 1 species